GCGAUAAGGAAUUUCCCUCGACCACAAAUUGGGGAGAACAAACAUUCUUUCCCAGUCACGCCAUUGUCAGAGCCAACUUCGGCGUUAAUUUUUUUAGUUAUACAGAUACAACAAAACACACCGUAUAGCUGCUUUGUUGUUCAAUGUACAUGUAAAUACAGACCUAUGGAUCACAAUGCUCCCACGUAGGGAAACAGAGCCUUCUGAAGAGCCCUGUGGCUUCAGGCUAUUUGGCGUGGGAGAGUGGGAAAUGUGGGGACCCGGUGUCCAAGUAGGCUACACGUAGCUGUGUGUGUGUGGAAAACAUGAUCACUGAUUCUUCAAAGUAGCCACCCUUUGCCUUGAUGACAGCGUUGCAGUCUUGGCAUUCUCUCAGCCAGAUUCAUGAGUUCAACUCAUCCCAAACCAUCUCAACUGGGUGAUUGUGGAGACCAGGUCAUCUGAUGCAGCGCUCCAUCACUCUUCUUCUUGAUCAAAUAGCCCUUCACAGCCUGGAGGUGACUACGUCAUGAAGCUGGUUGAGAAAAUGCCAAGAGUGUGCAAAGCUGUCAUCAAGGCAAAGGGUGACCAUUUUGAAGAAUCUCCAAUAUAAAAU
ensembl:lncRNA